AACGAACGCUGGCGGCAUGCCUAACACAUGCAAGUCGAACGAGACCUUCGGGUCUAGUGGCGCACGGGUGCGUAACGCGUGGGAACCUGCCCUUAGGUUCGGAAUAACUCCCCGAAAGGGGUGCUAAUACCGGAUAAUGUCUUCGGACCAAAGAUUUAUCGCCUUUGGAUGGGCCCGCGUUGGAUUAGCUAGUUGGUAGGGUAAAAGCCUACCAAGGCGACGAUCCAUAGCUGGUCUGAGAGGAUGAUCAGCCACACUGGGACUGAGACACGGCCCAGACUCCUACGGGAAGCAGCAGUGGGGAAUAUUGGACAAUGGGCGAAAGCCUGAUCCAGCAAUGCCGCGUGAGUGAUGAAGGCCUUAGGGUUGUAAAGCUCUUUUACCCGGGAUGAUAAUGACAGUACCGGGAGAAUAAGCUCCGGCUAACACCGUG
rnacentral:rRNA from 1 species